rnacentral:rRNA from 1 species
AAAUUGAAGAGUUUGAUCAUGGCUCAGAUUGAACGCUGGCGGCAGGCCUAACACAUGCAAGUCGAGCGGAAACGAGUUAUCUGAACCUUCGGGGGACGAUAACGGCGUCGAGCGGCGGACGGGUGAGUAAUGCCUAGGAAAUUGCCCUGAUGUGGGGGAUAACCAUUGGAAACGAUGGCUAAUACCGCAUGAUGCCUACGGGCCAAAGAGGGGGACCUUCGGGCCUCUCGCGUCAGGAUAUGCCUAGGUGGGAUUAGCUAGUUGGUGAGGUAAGGGCUCACCAAGGCGACGAUCCCUAGCUGGUCUGAGAGGAUGAUCAGCCACACUGGAACUGAGACACGGUCCAGACUCCUACGGGAGGCAGCAGUGGGGAAUAUUGCACAAUGGGCGCAAGCCUGAUGCAGCCAUGCCGCGUGUGUGAAGAAGGCCUUCGGGUUGUAAAGCACUUUCAGUCGUGAGGAAGGUAGUGUAGUUAAUAGCUGCAUUAUUUGACGUUAGCGACAGAAGAAGCACCGGCUAACUCCGUGCCAGCAGCCGCGGUAAUACGGAGGGUGCGAGCGUUAAUCGGAAUUACUGGGCGUAAAGCGCAUGCAGGUGGUUUGUUAAGUCAGAUGUGAAAGCCCGGGGCUCAACCUCGGAAUUGCAUUUGAAACUGGCAGACUAGAGUACUGUAGAGGGGGUAGAAUUUCAGGUGUAGCGGUGAAAUGCGUAGAGAUCUGAAGGAAUACCGGUGGCGAAGGCGGCCCCCUGGACAGAUACUGACACUCAGAUGCGAAAGCGUGGGGAGCAAACAGGAUUAGAUACCCUGGUAGUCCACGCCGUAAACGAUGUCUACUUGGAGGUUGUGGCCUUGAGCCGUGGCUUUCGGAGCUAACGCGUUAAGUAGACCGCCUGGGGAGUACGGUCGCAAGAUUAAAACUCAAAUGAAUUGACGGGGGCCCGCACAAGCGGUGGAGCAUGUGGUUUAAUUCGAUGCAACGCGAAGAACCUUACCUACUCUUGACAUCCAGAGAACUUUCCAGAGAUGGAUUGGUGCCUUCGGGAACUCUGAGACAGGUGCUGCAUGGCUGUCGUCAGCUCGUGUUGUGAAAUGUUGGGUUAAGUCCCGCAACGAGCGCAACCCUUAUCCUUGUUUGCCAGCGAGUAAUGUCGGGAACUCCAGGGAGACUGCCGGUGAUAAACCGGAGGAAGGUGGGGACGACGUCAAGUCAUCAUGGCCCUUACGAGUAGGGCUACACACGUGCUACAAUGGCGCAUACAGAGGGCAGCCAACUUGCGAAAGUGAGCGAAUCCCAAAAAGUGCGUCGUAGUCCGGAUUGGAGUCUGCAACUCGACUCCAUGAAGUCGGAAUCGCUAGUAAUCGUGGAUCAGAAUGCCACGGUGAAUACGUUCCCGGGCCUUGUACACACCGCCCGUCACACCAUGGGAGUGGGCUGCAAAAGAAGUAGGUAGUUUAACCUUCGGGGGGACGCUUACCACUUUGUGGUUCAUGACUGGGGUGAAGUCGUAACAAGGUAGCGCUAGGGGAACCUGGCGCUGGAUCACCUCCUUA